rnacentral:rRNA from 1 species
AGGGCACCACCAGGAGUGGAGCCUGCGGCUUAAUUCGACUCAACACGGGAAAACUCACCCGGCCCGGACACUGGAAGGAUUGACAGAUUGAGAGCUCUUUCUUGAUUCAGUGGGUGGUGGUGCAUGGCCGUUCUUAGUUGGUGGAGUGAUUUGUCUGGUUAAUUCCGAUAACGAACGAGACUCUAGCCUAUUAAAUAGAUCGUUGGCUUACAAACGCCGGCGAGACUUCUUAGAGGGACAGGCGGCGAUUCAGCCGCACGAAACAGAGCAAUAACAGGUCUGUGAUGCCCUUAGAUGUCCGGGGCCGCACGCGCGCUACACUGAAGUGAUCAGCGUGCAUUUUGAAACCUACUCUGUCAAGAGUGGGGAACCCAAUGAACCUUCUUCGUGAUUGGGAUAGGGGAUUGUAAUUAUUCCCCUUGAACGAGGAAUUCCCAGUAAGCGCGAAUCAUAAGUUUGCGCUGAUUACGUCCCUGCCCUUUGUACACACCGCCCGUCGCUACUACCGAUUGAAUGUUU